GCGCGGUUGGCGUAGUGGUAUAGCGCGUCACUCGAUUUGAGCUUGGUGAAAGACCCGGGUUAGAAUCCCGGACCUCGCA
rnacentral:tRNA from 1 species